AUGACACCAAUAGGAAAGAGACAAAGAAAUAUCAUUUUUAUAAAUAAAAAAGGAGCGAAAGAGAGUGAGAGAGCUCUAGUCUGCAGCUAUGAAUGACAUCAAGCUGGCUUUGCUGGGCAGUGAGGGAGCAGGGAAAUCAGCUGUUCUGGUAAGGUUCCUGACAAAACGCUUCAUUGGAGAGUAUGCUUCCAACGCCAAUUCCUUAUAUCGUAAAAGGCUCUCCAUCGAAGGAAGAUUGUUAAACUUGGAAGUCUUUGAUCCGUGUUCCCAGACUGGAGAGAGCAGAUGUAUACUGGAGGAACCGAUGGAAUGGGCAGACGGAUUCAUUGUAGUGUACAACAUCAGCGACCGAAUGUCCUUCCUCAACGCCCAAAGCAUCCUGUGUCAGAUUAAAGAGACCCGUGGGGAAAGCUGCAAGGGGGAGCUAGACAAGAUGGACAUCCCAAUCUGCCUGGUGGGCAACAAGCAGGACCUGUGCCACGCCCGUCAGGUGUGUGAGGAGGAGGGCCACGUCCUGGCACAGGAGCACAGAUGCCACUUCCAGGAGGUGUCUGCUGCAGAAGACUACCUGGAUAUAUUCAAUCUCUUUACCAAGCUCAUCCGCCAUGUAAUGGAGCACCUGAAGUACCGUGCUGACCGCCGCCGCUACAAUGGCUCCAAGUCCAUGGCAAAGCUCAUUAAUAAUGUUUUUGGGAAAAGGAGGAAGUCUGUUUGAAAGUCAGGUUGUAACAGUAAUGAGGACUUUGGUUGAGUGGAACACUUGGUUUUGUGAAGAUGAUAACAGGGACAGCUCUUGUAAAUGUUAAUGGCAUACUUCAUAGUUCGAAGUUGGGUAUGCAGCCAGCACUUCAAAUUGAACCAAAGUUAAGGAACAGUGUGAUGAUGAUCGAAGUCAUCAAAUCCAGAUGAAGGCUUUCUAAUAGUUCUGCUGGAAUG